GUCCACGCCGUAAACGAUGCAUACUAGGUGUCGGGAGCAAAGCUUUCCGGUGCCGCCGCAAACGCAGUAAGUAUGCCACCUGGGGAGUACGUUCGCAAGAAUGAAACUCAAAGGAAUUGACGGGACCCGCACAAGCGGUGGAGCAUGUGGUUUAAUUCGAAGCAACGCGAAGAACCUUACCAAGUCUUGACAUCCCCCUGACUAGUGAGUAACGUCACUUUUCCUUCGGGACAGGGGAGACAGGUGGUGCAUGGUUGUCGU
rnacentral:rRNA from 1 species